GACGAACGCUGGCGGCGUGCUUAACACAUGCAAGUCGAACGAAGAGCGAUGGAAGCUUGCUUCUAUCAAUCUUAGUGGCGCACGGGUGAGUAACGCGUAAUCAACCUUCCCUUCAGAGGGGGACAACAGUUGGAAACGACUGCUAAUACCGCAUACGAUCUAAUCUCGGCAUCGAGGAUAGAUGAAAGGUGGCCUCUACAUGUAAGCUAUCACUGAAGGAGGGGAUUGCGUCUGAUUAGCUAGUUGGAGGGGUAACGGCCCACCAAGGCGAUGAUCAGUAGCCGGUCUGAGAGGAUGAACGGCCACAUUGGGACUGAGACACGGCCCAGACUCCUACGGGAGGCAGCAGUGGGGAAUCUUCCGCAAUGGACGAAAGUCUGACGGAGCAACGCCGCGUGAGUGAUGACGGCCUUCGGGUUGUAAAGCUCUGUUAAUCGGGACGAAAGGCCUUCUUGCGAACAGUUAGAAGGAUUGACGGUACCGGAAUAGAAAGCCACGGCUAACUACAUG
rnacentral:rRNA from 1 species